AGCAUAUUUCGAAAAUGUAUCAAUAACGACAAGAAUAUAUCUGUAAUUUUUAUUUUCUUUUGAAAUUGAUUGCAUAUCAAUUAAGUCUGCUUGCCACAAGUCAUCUAUAUCUUUCAUGAUAACAUGUCUUCGUGGAUAGUUCACCCUUGCAUUUUUAUGAAUUUCGUUUACCACAUCAGCUUUGCUCAUGUUCACAAUUCAGUAGGUAUACUUGUCUUAAACUCAGCUAUUAUACUGAAUAACAAGUAUAUUAUUAUGACUAUUUAUGGUUUAAUUAUAUCAACUUCUUUUAAUUCUUCGAUUAUUGAUAAAAUUUCAUUAUCAUGGUUUGUAUUACCAGCAUCUCGGGAAGCAAUUAAUAGUUUCAAUCUGUCAACCAAUUCGUUAGGAUCAUCCCAAUAUAUCAAGUCCGUGUUAUGUUUGUAUGUCUUUAGCGUUGGUAAGCUUCCUCCAAAUUUAGUGAUAGUAUUAUUGUUUAACGAUUCAGAAAACAAUGGUUUAAUUAUUUCACGAUAUUUUAUACCUUUAUCGCCUCUAAUUUGUCCAUUAGGAUUGAAAUCUCUCUUAUGUGCAUUUGUAUAAUGCAACAUAUCUUUAUAGACAAGUUUAUCUUUGCUCGAUAUUAGUUUCAAAUCAGGUUUUCUUCGAAGUAAAAGUUCUUUUAAACCAGGGGUUAAAUUGUAGCUUUUGUCGCCAACUUUAAUUAAAAUGACAUUAUCAUCAUUCACACUAUCUAUUUUAGAAAAUGAAACUAUUGAAUUACCCAUUAGUAAUUUUUUGUUUGCACUCCUUAUUCCAAAUGGUAUAUUUACCCCAUCAUAAAUAUCAUGGAUGUCACUGCCCUCUAAUGAUAUUUCUAAAUCAUCCAGUAAUUCUGUCUGGGGAGACUUUUUAACGAACUGUUUAGAAUUCAGUUCUGGUUCGCAGCAUUCUUCAAACUUUGUAGAUGAGCUAGUAUUAAUGUCAUCCAAUUCCAUUUCUUCAAAAUUAGAGUGAGUAUUUUCUAAAUUUUGUAUUUUUUCUAUUGUUUUUUUCGAAUCGACUAGGGUUUUAAGGGGAUCUGUGACAGGUUUUAACAUUUUGUCAAGUGACAAGUUCAUUGAGUGUUCCUGGUUUUUCAUUUGUUUUAUUUUAUUCUUUAUGGAGUCUACAGACUUCAUUAAUUCUAUUUUAAUAUUUUUCUCCAUGUUGUACCUAUCAUAACAACUGUAUUACGCUAAAGAACAAAUUAUACUGAAUUUGAUUUUGCAUGUUAAUUGCUUAAAUGUACAUAUAAACAGUCAGUCAAAAUUAAAAAACAUAUCAAAAUUCUGUCUGUACCUUCCGUUAUUUAAUGACGAUUCUUUAUUAAUAAGUAGAAAAUUAUAAGGUUUACUCCAAACAGUUUGACAAAGAUUUUUAAACUCUUUCCAUUGUAAAUCAGAACUAACAUUCUCUUCAUAAAUAUGCUUUAAAUUUACAUCAUCUUGUUUGAAUAUAAUAAGAAAAUUAACAUUGUCACGUAACAAUUGCUUCGGAAUUUUAAAAUAAGUUUGAGAUAAAUAGAAACAGUCUAUUUGUUUAUGUCUACCCAUACAGAAAUAAUUGCGGAUAUUUAUUUGAUUUUCACAUGCAACAUCAUCAAAAAUAAAUACAGAAUUUGCUAAAGCUUCACUCGGAGAAAUUACAUCUUUAUCAUCAUUGAACUCGUAAAAGUUAAUCUGCGGUACUCUUUUUAAUACUUCAGUCAAGAAACGAUAUUUUGAUUGAAAAGAAGUUUUCGAGUAAAGAUAAAGAUUUUGAAAUUUUAAACCAUUUUCAUGUACCAGUAAACUAAUCAUGGCAUUAGUUUUACCACAAUUGGAAGGACCGCAUAUUAUACAUCGAAUCGUAUUAGGCAAUAAAGCACUGUGUCUGAUUGAGCGAGAAGAUUCAUUAAAAUCGAUAUUAUUAACUUUCAGAGAUAUGGGUUGCUUGAUCAACUUCAUCAUACCGAUUGCCGCAAUGAAUAGGCAGCCUAAAUAUUUAUAUCUAGUAAUUUACACCAAAAUACAUUGAGUACAAGAACAAGUCCAAGUCUGUUCAGAGUUUCUAAGUUGUUGGAGAUGGCGUUUACGUCAGACAGUUAGGGCAUCCAUAAAACACAUUACAGUUGACAGGUUUAGACUUGUUAAGAUAAAUCAUUAAAAUACCACAAGCAUCAAUUAUGUUAUUUGAGACAUUAAUUUUUAAAUUAUAAAAUGUGUAUCCAACAUGACUAACGUCUUAAAUAUUUUUCAGUCUGCAGCUGUAGUUUGAGUCAACUAGUCCUUUGUUUACAAUUUAGUUAUUUUGAGAAUCAUGUCGAGAUCACCAUGCUACAGUCCGGAUUUUAAUAUUAUGGAUCCUAACAGAACUUCGUCAUUGAAUAACGAUUCGGAGGGAAUAAAUUUACAAAACAUGAUGGACGACAUCAAUGAUCCUAUAACUCAUCCUUUUAAUUUUGCCCAAGAUAGGGAGAGUUGGUAUGCUGAAGUAGCAGCAGCAGCACAAGAGGAAUAUCGUCUUGAAAAAGCAAAGAGACAAACAUUAAAGAAGAGGAAAGUUAAAUCAAAAUCUUUGAAAACUAAAUUUUUUAUCAUGCGUAAAGAAUCGGAUCGUGCGCAACGCGUAAUAAAAUUAUAAUUUAUGACUUGGACGGUGGCAAUAUGGAUGAAAUAUCAUCUAAUCCUGAAGAUGCAAGUGUGAAUGUGCAGUAUUUAGUGACUAGUGAAUAUGAUGAUAUUAUGACUGAAACUGAAUAUUUAGUUGGUAAAAUUGUAAAGAAAUUAAGCAAAUAGAUGUGUAUGUUUAGUUGUAGAUAAAGAAUAAGACUUUUUGUUUAUUAGCUUGUAAAUAAUACUUUACAAUGUACAUUUUAAUUUGUAAUUAAAAUAAUAGCCCUAAGUUUAGUAUAGUAGUUCACUUUUUAGUAGUACAGAAAUAGUUUGUUAUUUAGUUUUAUUAAUAGUUUAUUUUUUAGUACUUAGUGACUGGUCCCUUUGUAUAUUUAUUGUGAAAAUUAAAAUAAAUUAUUUAAUUAUACUUGUUUAAUUAU